rnacentral:rRNA from 1 species
AACGAACGCUGGCGGCAUGCCUAACACAUGCAAGUCGAACGAGACCUUCGGGUCUAGUGGCGCACGGGUUCGUAACGCGUGGGAACCUGCCCUUAGGUUCGGAAUAACUCCCCGAAAGGGGUGCUAAUACCGGAUAAUGUCUUCGGACCAAAGAUUUAUCGCCUUUGGAUGGGCCCGCGUUGGAUUAGCUAGUUGGUAGGGUAAAAGCCUACCAAGGCGACGAUCCAUAGCUGGUCUGAGAGGAUGGUCAGCCACACUGGGACUGAGACACGGCCCAGAAUCCUACGGGAGGCAGCAGUGGGGAAUAUUGGAAAAUGGGCGGAAGCAUGAUCCAGCAAUGCCGCGUGAGUGAUGAAGGCCUGAGGGUUGUAAAGCUCUUUUACCCGCGAUGAUAAUGACAGUACCGGGAGAAUAAGCUCCGGCUAACUCCGUG